CGCCUCAGCCAUAUCCCCCUGCAGCCCAAGACCAAUUACACACUGAAGCUAAGCAGGGCUGAGCCUGGUCAGUACCCGAAUGGAAGACCAAAUGGGAAAACUAGGUUGCUGUUGGAA
ensembl:rRNA 5S_rRNA 5S ribosomal RNA